CCUUUCUAAUCUUCGUCUUCUCCCUCUCUUUCCCCGUCUCUUCUCUUCCUAAUCGUAGCCAGGGUCAGCCGGGUCAGGAGAGCGACCUGACCUUCUCCGCGGGUCCUUCAGCUCCCCCCAUCGAGGUCAGGGUCCAGGGCAUCCCCACGAGAAGCUGCUGUCAAACUCUGCCAACAGUGCGGGCAGAGAUUGCGAGGAUUCGAGAGCUAAAUAUAAUGGGGACUUCGUUCACCUGAGAUACUUCUACAACCCUGGGAACUUCGAGGUCAAGAACCGCACGAUGACCUUGUUGAAGCAGAUGCACGACCUAAGGCAAGAGAACGUGAACGGCUUCCUGGGCAUGCUGUGUGACCCCAUCCGACCUGGCUUCGUGUGGGAGUACUGCUCGCGGAGGUCCUGC